AAUGGAUGUCAAUCGACAGGUGCCCGUCACGACGGGAGAAUAGGGAAGCAAACGCGCGGGCCCGCCGCUGUAUUCGGGGACCCUCUCUGACCACUGGACCGAUUCGGUCUGGGAAGGACAGGGAAGAUGGGGAUGAUCCGAGAGCCAGAAGACCUGCCUGUCGAGAUGGAUCGUU
rnacentral:ncRNA from 1 species